AUUGAACGCUGGCGGCAUGCCUUACACAUGCAAGUCGAACGGCAGCACGGGUGCUUGCACCUGGUGGCGAGUGGCGAACGGGUGAGUAAUACAUCGGAACAUGUCCUGUAGUGGGGGAUAGCCCGGCGAAAGCCGGAUUAAUACCGCAUACGAUCUACGGAUGAAAGCGGGGGCCCUUCGGGCCUCGCGCUAUAGGGUUGGCCGAUGGCUGAUUAGCUAGUUGGUGGGGUAAAGGCCUACCAAGGCGACGAUCAGUAGCUGGUCUGAGAGGACGACCAGCCACACUGGGAUUGAGACACGGCCCAGACUCCUACGGGAGGCAGCAGUGGGGAAUUUUGGACAAUGGGCGAAAGCCUGAUCCAGCAAUGCCGCGUGUGUGAAGAAGGCCUUCGGGUUGUAAAGCACUUUUGUCCGGAAAGAAAUCCUUGGCCCUAAUACGGUCGGGGGAUGACGGUACCGGAAGAAUAAGCACCGGCUAACUACGU
rnacentral:rRNA from 1 species